AGACGGCGCUAAAGCGCCUCCUCAGCAUGAACGGGUUGGAGGGAUAUUAAAAAACCACAUUGCAACCAGCUUGUCAACUAAAACUUAAG
rnacentral:ncRNA from 1 species